ensembl:lncRNA
GGAAAUACCCAAAAGAAAAGCCCACAUAACUAUUCAUGCUUCAUGCUUUAGGGUUACUAGACACUUCAGAAGUGAUGAAGACUUCCAUAUUAAUUACAGCUAUUUUUUAUCACUAUGUGUUAUCUGCCUCAGUCCCAGAAACCUUUGAGAAUUAUACCUGUGGAGAGGGGUCACAUGACAUAAACUCUGCACGUGCAAGCACAGACUUAAACUGUGAACAAAUCUGGACUAUUGGGGACAAUCCCAUAGGAACCUUUGUGAAUGGCAGUGUGGAAUGCCAUGAACCAUGCAACAGGGUGACUUCUGGUGGAAUUACCAUCACAAACUGUGAUAAUCUCACUCUGACUGUUAUAUGUCUCCAGGAAUAUUUGUCAGAAUAUCGAGUACAUUUUCAUGGCAUCCUUGCAGGUCUUGCUGUGCUGGUGUUCAUAGCUCUAGGACUGAUAUUCCAGUACUACAAAUUUUAGCUUCAUUGAAAUAGACACACUGGAUUAAUUUGUCUUUAAUUAUAAAAAGGCAGCCUGAAUUCAAAACCACAUGGACAUUAUAAAAGCUUCUUUUUAUAAUUUAUUUUGUUUAGUUUAUUUUAAAGAUGUUUAAAACAAAACAAAAAAACCUCAUGCUGUCAGGGGCGGACUGGGUUUCAAAACCGGCCCGGGCAUCCUUCAACGAGUGAGGUGACAAGGUCGACCUACUCGGCCCAUUAUUCAUUGUAAAUUUUUUAAAAUUUGUAAGGAGUUCGCAGCUCGCUCCUUGCUAUGAUAUGAUCUCUAUCUAAACUGUUGUCAAACCUAAUCUGAACACUAUUGUUAAAAUUAGUUAAACAAGUUAAAAUUAGAUGACAAGUUAAAAUUAGAUGACAUGCUUAGAAAUAAAAUUUAAUGAAAAAUAAAAAAUGUAGUAACACGGCUUACUUGUUAUUCAAGUACAUGUCAAAUGUCAAUGUCAUGUCCAAGUGCCAGUACCCUAGUAGGCUAGUAGUUUAUGCAGUUCGCUGCUUUUAGCAGCCACAUCAUCAACAAUACUGUUAGUGUCAGGUUUGACUAAGAUACUUUUCUCCACUGACAUCAACAUGAACACCUCAAGAUGUUCUUGCGUCAUUUUGCUUCUCAGGUAGCUUUUAAUUCUCUUCAAUGCAGAGAAUGAUCUUUCACACUGCACUUGCGACACAGGCAGCGUUAGCAGUAGCUUGUAUGCAAGCCCAAUGCUCUAUUAAGCAUCAGUUAAGAGGUUCAACCAGAGUAACACCUUGUAGCAGCAGAGAGGACAGUCUUUACAAGUUAACACAGUUGUCCGUCUUCUUCACGAUCACUGUCAUUGUCAUCCUUCACAGUAUGUGUCUGCUACUGAUUGUUUAAGUGUUGACCACUGCUGUCCAAAGUUUUGCAUUUCUGUUUGUAGUUGUUCAGCAGUGAUGCCAUCAUCAAAUCUGAGCAAAUGUCUAUGCAGCUCUUCCAUAGUUCCCAGUGGAACUUCACCAAAGUUCCUCAGGUGAACAAGGAACAGAUCACCGAGGAACGCAGAUGUUGGUGAUGCGUCCUACUCCGAUCAGUCUGCGUUCUACGCUGAUCUGGCUCAUAUUUGGCAACAGACACUGAAUGACUGAAAUGAAUGAUAAUGAUACGAGCUCAAACGAGGACGAGGUCAUGAGUGAGUGUUAAUAGAACUUAAUUCAAUGCCAAAUAAUUACCCAUAUAGGCGGUUAGGCCUAAAGUAUAGUAAGUUAUUACAGGUAUGAAACAAUUAUUUUUAAGUCGAUAAUCCAACUGCUCAUAAAACAAUUGAAUAAAUUAUAACCUAGAUUAUAAUGUAAACCUCACAUGAUUGAAAUAGUCCAUUAACUUAAGGAUAAACUCUAAAUGUUCGGUCCUAACAUCAAACAUUCCUAAUAACCGCAGCUGAAAAUCACAAAUUAUUGCUCAUGCGGAUGACCAGACAACAAUAAAAUGCAUAAUACAUAAUGUACACUAAUUAUUAAUACCGGAUAAUUUAAAUAAUAGAUAUGAGAUAAAAUCAAUUGAAAUAAUGUAUAUACUACCUGAAAUGUAGCGGUAUCGAAACAGAAAUCGGCAAAAGGCCGAAAACGUUUUUUCGCUGCAACGUUGUGUAUUGACAACUGAACCAACUUGAUGACGUAAUAUGGUAUAUUAUAUAGGACUAUAUAAAUCACAGUACCGGACAGAUAAUGUUUAUUAGUUUAGACUAGUUUAGAAAAUUAAUUUCAAACAGUAACCAGUACAUAAAAUUUAUUUCAUGAAACGGCUGGCCCAUGGCCAGACCAGAGUCUGCAGCCCGCUGGGCAUUGCCCUAAUGGUCAGUCCGCCCCUGCAUGCUGCUAACUGUCAGUAUACCAAAUGAACUAUGUAUUUUCUGUAUACAUGGAAUUGGAUUUUUGUUUUAACAGAGCAAUUUUUAUUAUAUUGUUAUUAAAAUUAUAUUUAUUUGGAUAUCAUCAAUAGUUGGUAUUUAGUGUUGUGCAGUUUGUUGUUGCAGUUAAUAGAUUAUGAUAUACAUCUCAUAAUCAUAUGCAGCUAGUAGAUUAUCAGAUGACAGUGUUCUACUAUCUGAACAUGAAGGUGCUAGAACAGAACACCUCAUUUCAUUUUUGUUUUCAUUAUUGUUUGUAUUUGUGCUAAAAUUAAG